AUUGAACGCUGGCGGCAUGCCUUACACAUGCAAGUCGAACGGUAACAGGUCUUCGGAUGCUGACGAGUGGCGAACGGGUGAGUAAUACAUCGGAACGUGCCCGAUCGUGGGGGAUAACGGAGCGAAAGCUUUGCUAAUACCGCAUACGAUCUACGGAUGAAAGCAGGGGACCGCAAGGCCUUGCGCGGACGGAGCGGCCCAUGGCAGACUAGGUAGUGGGUGGGAUAAAAGCUUACCAAGCCGACGAUCUGUAGCUGGUCUGAGAGGACGACCAGCCACACUGGGACUGAGACACGGCCCAGACCCCUACGGGAGGCAGCAGUGGGGAAUUUUGGACAAUGGGCGAAAGCCUGAUCCAGCCAUGCCGCGUGCAGGAUGAAGGCCUUCGGGUUGUAAACUGCUUUUGUACGGAACGAAAAGCCUCUUUCUAAUAAAGAGAGGUCAUGACGGUACCGUAAGAAUAAGCACCGGCUAACUACGUGCCAGCCGCCGCUGUAAGAC
rnacentral:rRNA from 1 species